rnacentral:rRNA from 1 species
GGAUAACUUACCCUUUAGGACUGGGAUAACUCUGGGAAACUGGGGAUAAUACUGGAUAUUAGGCUAUGCCUGGAAUGGUUUGCCUUUGAAAUGUUUUUUUCGCCUAAGGAUAGGUCUGCGGCUGAUUAGGUCGUUGGUGGGGUAAUGGCCCACCAAGCCGAUGAUCGGUACGGGUUGUGAGAGCAAGGGCCCGGAGAUGGAACCUGAGACAAGGUUCCAGACCCUACGGGGUACAGCAGGCGCGAAACCUCCGCAAUGUACGAAAGUGCGACGGGGGGAUCCCAAGUGUUAUGCUUUUUUGUAUGACUUUUCAUUAGUGUAAAAAGCUUUUAGAAUAAGAGCUGGGCAAGACCGGUGCCAGCCGCCGCGGUAACACCGGCAGCUCGAGUGGUAGCUGUUUUUAUUGGGCCUAAAGCGUUCGUAGCCGGUUUGAUAAGUCUUUGGUGAAAGCUUGUAGCUUAACUAUAAGAAUUGCUGGAGAUACUAUUAGACUUGAAGUCGGGAGAGGUUAGAGGUACUACCGGGGUAGGGGUGAAAUCCUAUAAUCCUGGGAGGACCACCUGUGGCGAAGGCGUCUAACUGGAACGAUCUUGACGGUGAGUAACGAAAGCCAGGGGCGCGAACCGGAUUAGAUACCCGGGUAGUCCUGGCCGUAAACGAUGUGGACUUGGUGUUGGAAUGGCUUUGAGUUGUUCCGGUGCCGAAGGGAAGCUGUUAAGUCCACCGCCUGGGAAGUACGGUCGCAAGACUGAAACUUAA